UCUCACCAUCCUUAGGGAAAAAGAAAACUGAAAAUCAUAAAAAAGAAAGAAAAUAAAACGUGGAGGAGUGAAAGGCGACCAGACACGAGGAAGAAUAUCCACGUCCAUUCCAGAGCGAUCCUUCUCCGUCUCUCAUAUAUCUUUGGCUCUUCCCCACUUCACCUCCUCCUCCAAUUUCCACUGCAGAUAAUAUAUUAAGGGCACUGGGCAGUUAUAAUCUGUGUUACCGGUACGCUCUUAAUUACCAUUAAAUCCAAUCCAACCCAAUCACCCAACAUUGAAGAAGAUGAGGCCCCAUCUCUCCCAACCCUCAUUUCAGCGUCUUGUUUCUAUCUUCUGUGAACGGUGAGGACUGAAUUGUUGUUAAUUUAUGAUCCAUACCCGAAAACCCAUCAACCCAUUUGCCCAAAACCAGCAUCACCUUCCUUCCCUGUGCCUGGUGAUUGAUUUGGUUCCCAUUGAAAGUUGAAGAAGACGAAGAAUUUGAAGAAAAGGAGAAUUGGGUUCUUAUGUCAGGGGCAAAGCCGGCCGCUGAGCAUGUCGGCUUCCCCAACGGGGACGCAAACAAGCCCAGUGCUGACGGCUGCUGCAACCCAGUGAAGAAAAGCGGACCCAUUUCCAUGGAUCACGUUCUUCUGGCCUUGCGCGAGACCAAGGAGGAGAGAGAGAUCAGACUUCGAAGCCUUUUCAAUUUCUUCGAUGCUACGAAUCUUGGGUACUUGGACUAUCCACAGAUCGAGGCCGGGUUAUCGGCGCUUCAGAUUCCGCCGGAGUACAAGUACGCCAAGGAUCUUCUGAAGGUUUGCGAUGCCAACAGAGAUGGAAGGGUCGAUUAUCUCGAGUUCCGAAGGUACAUGGAUGACAAGGAGCUCGAGCUGUAUCGGAUUUUUCAGGCCAUUGAUGUUGAGCACAAUGGCUGCAUUCUGCCCGAAGAGCUUUGGGAUGCUCUUGUCAAGGCUGGGAUUGAAAUGGAUGAUGAGGAACUCGCCCGUUUUGUAGAGCAUGUUGAUAAGGAUAACAAUGGAAUUAUAACUUUUGAAGAAUGGAGAGAUUUUCUUCUACUUUAUCCACAUGAAGCAACGAUUGAGAACAUAUAUCAUCACUGGGAAAGGGUAUGCCUUGUGGAUAUAGGAGAGCAGGCUGUUAUUCCAGAAGGAAUUAGUAGGCAUGUUCAUAGGAGCAGAUACUUUAUUGCAGGGGCUAUAGCAGGUGCCGCUUCUCGUACUGCUACUGCUCCUCUUGAUCGCUUGAAGGUGGUUUUGCAAGUUCAGACUGCACGUGCUUCUGUAGUUCCCGCUAUAAAGAAGAUAUUGAAGGAAGACGGUAUCCUAGGGUUUUUCCGAGGUAACGGAAUAAAUGUUGUGAAGGUAGCACCUGAGAGUGCUAUCAAGUUCUAUACUUAUGAAAUGUUAAAAAAGGUCAUUGGAGAUAGUAUGGGGGCAGACUCGGGAGAUAUUGGUACUUCGGGUAGACUUUUGGCUGGUGGUAUAGCAGGUGCAGUGGCACAAACUUCUAUCUAUCCCUUGGAUCUUGUGAAAACUCGAUUACAGACUUGCACUUCAGAAGCUGGAAAGAGUCCUCAGUUGAGGACAUUAACUAAGGAAAUAUGGAUUCAUGAGGGACCCCGGGCCUUCUAUAAAGGUCUGUUUCCGUCUCUUCUUGGGAUUAUCCCCUAUGCUGGCAUCGACCUCACGGCCUAUGAGACCUUAAAAGAUAUGUCAAGGACAUAUAUUCUUCAAGAUAGUGAACCUGGUCCUCUAAUCCAGCUGGGCUGUGGGACAAUAUCUGGAGCUCUAGGAGCAACAUGUGUUUAUCCAUUGCAGGUUAUCCGAACCAGAUUGCAAGCUCAACGUUCUAAUACAGCUGCUGCUUAUAAAGGAAUGUCUGAUGUAUUCUGGAGAACCCUUCAGAAUGAAGGCUAUACAGGUUUCUACAAGGGAUUGUUUCCAAAUCUUCUCAAAGUUGUGCCAGCUGCAAGCAUUACAUAUAUGGUAUAUGAAGCCAUGAAAAAAAAACUAGAUCUGUAGUGAGUUGGUAACUACAUUGAUCUUGUAGUUAGAAAUUGUAACGGAGUUGAUGAUGAAGAAAAAGAAAAUGAUAUUACUAGUUAAGUAGGCGAUAUGAUUGUUAUAUGACAGAUGGUUUCCCCCUUCAGGAUAUGGGGCAAAGGAUUUUCAAUUUUGUAGUCAGAAAGUCUUUUCCGGGAUUUAUGGAAACUUACUAUUGAGAAACCAGGUUACAGCCCAUUUUGAAUUUCACAGCAAAGGUGGUAGGAUCUUUUUGCACGAUUUACAGCAAGGUUUGAGUGGAACAUGAGGCUAUUCUCUAUACUGAUCCAUAUGUGGUGAGAAUUAACUGAGUUUCAUAUGUGAUCGGUAGAUAUUGCAGCUGUAAUAUCUAGUUUGACUCCAUACCGUACUUCUGCAUGAUAAGCAUAUGACUGUACACGGUGUGCCCCAAGGCGCUGUGCUUGCUUGCGUUCAUAAUGCAUGUAGUAUCUAUGUUUCA